rnacentral:lncRNA from 1 species
UGAGACUGAAGGAGGGAAGACAAUUGAAAGUACUUUGGCUUUCCAUUUGAUGAUGCCUAGUAAAGACUAUGAUUCAAGGAAUUAUGUGGCAGCAAAUGGAAAUUAGGCCAAUGAUGAUGCUUCAAGACACUCCUGCGAGAAGAGACAAAGCCGCAAAGGGAUGAAUCAUUCUUUUAAAAUGAGCCUCUGCCCAAAGUAUG